GCCACUUCUCUCUAACACACUCUCUGUUCCUCUUCCCUUUCUCUCAUUCUCAGUCUCCAUCUUCCAUCGAAACCCUAACUCAGAAGCCCAGGGUUUCUGUAACUUCUCAGUGCCUUCUUAGCCCAUUACCCUUCUUCCUUUCCUUCACCUUUCUUCUUUCUUUCUUCUUUAUCUUCUUUUGAUUUAUCCUCUAUGACUCAGCUCUACAUGAAACCCUAGGUUCUCCUUUUCAGCUCUCCCUCUCUUUUUGAAUCGGAACCCUAGAUGCUUUCUCCUCUACCUUCGAAUGAACCGAGGCUUCAAGUUCGAAUAAUACCCCUUCUUUCCAGCUCUUUUGGUCAUAUCUGAGUAGUAGGGAGGCCUUUGGUGGAACCAAAACCAGUGGAGAGCACCCCGGGGAAGUCUCAAAGGCAAAUUGGCAUGGUGCUUGGGGUGAUCUCUUCAGGAUCCGACGAUGUGCUCAGAUAAGUUUUUUUUGUUUUUUUUGUUUUUCUUUCCAUCCUUCUCCCUUUCCUUUUUUGAUUGUUGAUUGUUUUUUGUGCAAUCUGAUGGGUGUGUGUGAAACUUUAAUGUUGUGAAUGCUGGUUUGGGAUGAUCGGGUAUUGGAUGGUUUGAUACUCUGGGUGAGGGAUUAGGGUCUCUGGUUAGUGUUUUAGGCAGAGGGAAGAAGAUGAGCUAAUCUCGUCUCACCCCGGGUGAGUGAACAAUGUGAGUCAACCCAGCGAGGUCGUGUGAACUCGAUUAGUCCUAAUUCAGACUCAGGGCACGUGCUAGACUCAAGCACGUGUGGGGUUCUUUGUUUGUAAAAAUGGGCUCGACUCGGGUUAAGACUUUUAGAAUGAGGUUGGGCCUGAUUUGAAUUUGAAAAUGGGCUGAGUAAAUUUUGAACUAAACAAGCCCUGUGGCUUUGGAUUUGGAAGUAGGGCCUCGGGGGUUAGACUUUCAAAAUAGGCUGCUGGGUCGAGGUUUAAAUUUCAAACGGGCCCGGGGUGAAAUUUUGGAAAUUAAAAUGGGCUUGAUGUUUUUAAAUGAAUAUGGGCCUCAUUUAAAAGAGAAAUGGGCAGGUUCUUUUAAAUUGGAAAUGGGCGUUUCAGCACUUUUAAAGUUUCAAAUGGGCUUUUGUUUUAACAACUUAACUGGGCCUUGGGUUUAGUUUAGAACUCAGGUGGGUUUGGGUUUUUUAAAAAAGAGAUCAGUGGGCUUUGGGUUAAUUUUAAAACAAGGUUGGGCCAGGGUACUUUUCAAGAUGGGUUUGAAACCAGACUCUGAUUCGGGUUUGGGAAGUCUAAGUCUAGUGGGCUAGUUCGAGGGUCUCGAACCUAAACUAGGAUUCAGGUCUAGGGAAGUGGGCUUGGGUUGGUCUCUACAAUACAAAUUCAAGCACGAACAUGAAAUUUAAUAAGAAUAGUCCCUGCAUUCACAUCCACACACCACUAUUGAAUGAAUUGAAUGAUUAGAGGAGUGAUGGUUUCGAAUUUUUACCUUCUUCCUUUCUCUCCUCCUGUCUUUCUGUGUCUGUUUCGGUCGUCUAGUAUGGUGGCUUGAGCAUGUCUAAAUGCUCUCUGUAGUCUACUUCUCCACUUCUUCCACCUUUGCGUCCUCUGCAAUUUGGUAGAGCUCCUCCGACUUCUAAGUGAGCUUAUGUUCCUCUAUUCUCUGCUUCAGCAGAGUUUCACUCUGCUCUCAGUUCUCACUUGUCAAUUCGUUAGAGUAUCUCUAAUGCUCUCAUACUCUUAAUUUGGCAGGGUGCUUUUGCACUCUCUACAGUGUGCCUUUGCUAUAGCGAGACUCCUUAUUUAUAGGGAGUAUAAGGGUGCUUUUUUGCGCCAAUUAACAGAAAUCCCCUCCACCUGGCAAGAAAUAAUUCCCUCUAACAACUCACAUGUGACUUUUGCAUUUCAUUUCUUAUUAUUUUGGGCUCCAGUUAACUGAUUUUGUGCUUCCUGUGCACAGGUGAACCUGGUGAUCUAGGUGACUUCGAGAGAUCCAAGUGGCAAUGGGAGAAUGGAGGGCUUUGGGACCUUUUACCAGGUGACGAGCCAGGAAUUAAGGCAGGGAACUUUAUCUCACUUUUUGUAGUUUUUAUACAUUUUUGUAUUAUUUUCUGUAUGCUGAUGUAUGUACCCCUGGGUUUUAGUUCCUGCAACAUUUAUUUGUACCAGUAUUUUCAUUUCCCUGUACUUACCUGUUGCUACUUGUAUUUUAUCUGUAACCCUUAUUUCACAUUCCAUGUAUGUUUCCUAUGUGUUUGUACCUCACACGUGCACAUAUGCCCCACUCCACCCUUUUCAUAAUGAAAUGUGACUUUAUUUUUAA